AUGGUUGAGGAUGACCAAU
rnacentral:snRNA from 1 species